UUAUUGGUAACAAAAACUACAUUUAUUAAAAAUCAUUUUCAGUAAUUGAUAUAAAGCUGAAAUAAAAUGAAAUAUAAUUAUUAAAUUAAAAAAAAGAUUUUUGAAAAGCUAAAAUUACUAAACAUAAAAUAAUAACUAAUUAAAGCCUUAAAGAAAUAUUUCAUAUAUAUAAUUAAAAAAUGAUAGAAAAAAUUAGGUGAGAAAACCGUGCAACAAAAUUACUUAAAACUUAACUACUUAAUUACUAAAACAUAUUAAAAUAAAAGUUUGUUCAAAAUAACAACAAAUAUUAUAACAGUAUAUGAAUAAUACUAUAAAAACACAGAUGUGCAGAUGUGCGUAUGAUGUAAGUUGGGUCAACAGCCGCCUAUGGAGAAAGUUUUCACCUUGUAUGUAUGUAUGUGUGUGUAUGUAUAUCAACUAAUGCAUAUUUUCUUCAACAGAAUAAUGAUAUUCAGAGCUGAAGGCACAGAUAAAGGGCUUUCCGGAGGGAAUUUUGGCUGAAAAGUGCUGUGUAAUAAUCUCAACAGGACGCAAUUUUCUUCAUCGGUGAUUGGCUCGCUGGGACAUGCUGGAAUCCUCUGAGAGCCAAUCAUCUAAUUGAACUCUCUGGAAACUGGAACUCAGAAUUAGUUCUGAUGACAAGGUCAGAGGUCAAAGACAAAUCUGAUAAUGUUAGCAUCACUCAGCGCAUUUAAGGGCAACUGCUACCAGCACCUUGUUUCUCAGGACAAUGACACACAGGUGUUAAUGACAAUCACAGAGCAAUGAAGAUGCUGUAAAUGUGUCUCUGAGCUCAAACCUUUCCCCUCACAAUGUUGCUCUCUGUGUCACAUGUUUAUUAAGAGGUUUCACAAGAUGUUUUCAAGUGGGUAAUGGGACUCUUAAGGCACUUUUUAUGCACUUAUGAGUCUGUGUUUUUGUUUUUUCGCUCUUUCAACAUGAUUCACAUCCUUUCAGACACUCUUCUCUAGUCUUAACAAUAAGCAUGUAUUAGAAAAAUCCAUUUGGUGAGUGUCAUGUUUGCAAGAUGACUAAAGAAGUACAGUACAUGAAGUGCCUUUGAAGGAGCUUGCAGCUGGUCUAUCAGGUGAGUCCUCAAGCCCUGUACUGUCUUCUGGAGGUGAAAUCAAGGAUUAUGUGUUUGUGAUUUGGUUUAAAGUCCCUCCAUCUCGGUAAUCCAAUUAGAGUGGCCCAGUGAGAGCCUCUGAAGAACAAGUUUUAAAAUGAGUGUGUCUGUGCUAGCAGUGCCUGACCUGAGAGAACUCCGAGGACUUUGUAAGUAGGCUAGUGCUCACACGUUUCAGCAUCAGGUCAGCUGGAACACACACACUCCUGGGACACAGGGGAAAAGAGAUGAGGAGAGAAAGACAGAGAGUGAUAGAAAGAAAGGGACUGCUUGAGCCAGACUGUGUCACAGUGGGUGCUCAAUGAGACACCGGUUCCUGAGGGAUGGCAGGAUGUGAGCCGACACUGUGACACGGGUUCUAGCUGAACUCCUAUGACUCCUGUGAACUCACUUUUCUCGCUCCUUGAAGAGACAGUUUCCCCCCAAAAAAGAAAAUGUGUUGUCAUUUGUUUGCUGUCAUGUCAUUCCAAACCUUUCUAAUUUUUUUUUUCUUUUGUGUAUCACAAAAGGAGGAAUUUUGAAGAAUGUACUGGUCAAAUAAUUACCAUAAAACAUCAUAAAAGUAAUAUUGUUGUUAGUAUUAUUCUUUUAGAUUUUAAAUUUAAGUUUGGGGUCAAUAAGAUUCUUUUAAAGAAAUAAGUGUCUCAUGCUCACCAAGGCUGCAUUUAUUUGAUCAAAAUACAGCAAAACAGUAAUAUUUUGAAAUAUUAUUACAGUUUAAAAGAACUCUGUUAUAAUAUAUUUUAAAAUGUAAUUUAUUCAUGUUAAGGAAUAAAGCCAUUAUUCCAGUCA
ensembl:lncRNA